rnacentral:rRNA from 1 species
AAUGAACGUUGGCGGCGUGGAUUAGGCAUGCAAGUCGAGCGCUCAUAGCAAUAUGGGAGCGGCGAACGGCGUAGGAAUUCAUAGGAACGUACCCUCAGGACGGGGAUAGCUACGGGAAACUGUAGGUAAUACCCGAUGAUCUCCGCGGAGCAAAGGUGUGAUUCCGCCUGAGGAGCGGCUUAUGCGAUAUUAGCUAGUUGGUGGGGUAAUGGCCUACCAAGGCGACGAUGUCUAGGGGGUGUGAGAGCAUGGCCCCCACGACCGGAACUGAGAUACUGUCCGGACACCUACGGGUGGCUGCAGUCGAGAAUCUUCCGCAAUGGACGAAAGUCUGACGGAGCGACGCCGCGUGCGGGAUGAAAGGCCCUUGGGUUGUAAAACCGCUUUCGGAGGGGAUGAAAUCCUCGAGGGUUCUCCCUCGAGGUUGACAGAGCCUCAAAAGAAGCACGGGCUAAGUACGUGCCAGCAGCCGCG